GACGAACGCUGGCGGCGUGCUUAACACAUGCAAGUCGAACGGUGAUGCUCCAGCUUGCUGGAGUGGAUCAGUGGCGAACGGGUGAGUAACACGUGAGCAACCUGCCCCAGACUCUGGAAUAAGCGCUGGAAACGGCGUCUAAUACUGGAUACGAAACUGGCCCGCAUGGGCAUGGUUUGGAAAGUUUUUCGGUUUGGGAUGGGCUCGCGGCCUAUCAGCUUGUUGGUGAGGUAAUGGCUCACCAAGGCGACGACGGGUAGCCGGCCUGAGAGGGCGACCGGCCACACUGGGACGGAGACACGGCCCAGACUCCUACGGGAGGCAGCAGUGGGGAAUAUUGCACAAUGGGCGAAAGCCGGAUGCAGCGACGCCGCGUGAGGGAUGACGGCCUUCGGGUUGUAAACCUCUUUCAGCAGGGAAGAAGCGAAAGGGACGGUACCGGCAGAAGAAGCACCGGCUAACUACGG
rnacentral:rRNA from 1 species